GGGAGGGAUAAGAGGAGGAGAGUGGGGGAAGGGUUGAUUGUUAGAGCAAGUAGGCUGCUGAGGAGAGGACUUCAGAAGCAGUGCACUCUGCAAGAAAAUAUGCUGUCUGGUUGAAAUCUAUUGGAUUUUCAGAUGAUAACGUUAGGAUACACGUUUAGCGAACUUUAUGACCACAUUCACUGUUGUUCCUUGUAGAUCUUGGACGUGAGAUUGCUAGGUCCGAACUCGCUAGACAUGAGAUGAGUUAGCGGUAUACUGGCCGUUAGCUAGUUUAAGAAGUAAAUAUUAUUUCAUAGAAAGGGUUGGCAAUAUCGAGGAAAAUCCUCGUCCAGACAUUGGCAAGAAAAUUCCACUUAACGACCUAUCGGGGUGGUGUGUCGGGAUGGACUGCUCUGAUGGAGAAACUCAACCUCCACAAACGGGAGUACCCCACUACCCGGCAAUACAUGUGUGCACAGCUCUCAUUCAAAAGUACUCCUUGUUGAGAGACCAGACAGGGAAGGGAUAUGUCUCGAGGCCACUGCAGCCAUUUUGCUACCUCCUCAAAGAAGAUCCAAGUGGGCUGUACGUCACAGACAGUAACAAUUAGAGCCAAGUCCAACUGUUCCUGGAUGGAGAGGAGCUACAUGCCAGAGGACAUCUCCAUGGAAUUGAGAUUGGCAAUGGGAGUCCAUUUUGUUUUUAACAUUGAGCAUGCAGCAUCAGUGAAAAACACUAUGCUGAGCUUUCAGAAACCUGUUCUGGGAAUUUAUGAGUGGGGUAAAUUACCAACAAAUGUUGAAUGGCAAACUUUUUUCAGAGUUCCUCUGUCCAGUGUCUGUGUUAUUUUGCCCAUCUUCAUCUUUUCUUUUUAUAGGCCAGUCUGAGAUAUGGCUUUUUCUUUGCAACUCUGCACAGAAGGCCAGCAUCCCGGAGUCGGCCUUUUCAUUGUUGACGUUGAGACUGGAGUUUUGCGGGUACUAUUUAAUGAAGCUGCCAGUUGAGGACUUGUGGGGCGGGGCGUCUGUUUCUCAAACGAGAUACUCUAAUGUACUUGUCCUCUUGCUCAGUUGUGCACCGGGGCCUCCCACUCUUUCGAUUCUGGUUAGAGCCAGUUUGCGCUGUCCUGUGAAGGGAGUAGUACACAGCAUUGUACGAGAUCUUCAGUUUCUUAGCAAUUUCUCGCAUGGAAAAGCCUUCAUUUCUCAGAACAAGAAUAGACUGAUGAGUUUCGGAAGAAAGGUCUUUGUUUCUGGCCAUUUUGAGCCUGUAAUCGAACCCACAAAUGCUGAUGCUCCAGAUACUCAACUAGUUUAAAGAAGGCCAGUUUUAUUGCUUCUUUAAUCAGAAGAACUGUUUUCAGCUGUGCUAACAUAAUUGCAAAAGGGUUUUCUGAUGAUCAAUUAGCCUUUUAAAAUUAUAAACUUGGAUUAGCUAACACAACGUGUCAUUGGAACACAGGAGUGAUGGUUGCUGAUAAUGGGCCUCUACGCCUAUGUAGAUAUUCCAUUACAAAUCAGCCAUUUCCAGCUACAAUAGUCAUUUACAACAUUAACAAUAUCUACACUGUAUUUCUGAUCUAUUUGAUGUUAUUUUAAUGGACAAAAAAUUUGCUUUUCUUUCAAAAACAAGGAAAUAUCUAAGUAACCCCAAACUUUUGAACGGUAGUGUAUAUACUGUAUGUAUGUUUUUAUGUUUAGAUUCAUAAUAUAAUUUAAAAGUAUGCAUGAAGGGAUCUGUAAUAGAAUAAAUGUGGCAAAAUGUCUACAUUACGAAUGUAGACAUUAAUAAAGGCAUUUCUAAUAAUGUGUGACACAUGGUGCCAGGUUUCCUCCAGACGUGACGCUUGGCCUUCAGGCCAAAGAGUUCAAUAUUGGUUUCAUCAGACUAGAGAAUCUUGUUUCUCAUGGUUUGAGAGUCUUUAGGUGCCUUUUGGCAAACUCAAAGCGGGUUGUCAUGUGCCUUUUACUGAGGAGUGGCUUCCGUCUGGCCACUCUAACAUAAAGGCCAGAUUGGUGGAGUGCUGCAGAGAUGGUUGUCCUAUCUCCACAGAUCAACUAUAGAGCUCAGGUUCUUGGUCACCUCCCUGACCAAGGCCCUUCUUCCCUGAUUUCUCAGUUUGGCCAGGCAGCCAGUUCUAGGAAGAGUCUUGGUGGUUCCAAACAUCUUCCAUUUUAGAAUGAUGGAGGCCACUGUGUUCUUGGGGACAUUCAAUUCUACAGAAAUUGUUUGGUACCCUUCCCCAGAUCUGUGCCACGACACAAUCCUGUUUUGUUGCUCUAUGGAUAAUUCCUUCAACCUCAUGGCUUGGUUUUUGCUCUGACCAUGCACUGUCAACUAUGGGACCUUAUAUAGACAGGUGUGUGCCUUUCCAAAUCAUGUCCAAUCAAUUGAAUUUACCACAGGUGGACUCCAAUCGAGUUGUAGAAACAUCUCAAGUGUGAUCAAUGGAAACAGGAUGGACCUGAGCUCAAUUUCGAGUCUCAUAGCAAAGGGUC
ensembl:lncRNA